GACAUAAGGUGCGAGCGUUAUCCGGAAUCACUGGGCGUAAAGGGCAUCUAGGCGGUUUAUUAAGUCAGGGGUGAAAAGCCGAAGCUCAACUUUGGUCUUGCCUUUGAAACUGAUAGACUAGAAUACGGGAUAGGAGGGCGGAACUACAAGUGUAGAGGUGAAAUUCGUAGAUAUUUGUAGGAAUGCCGAUGACGAAGGUAGCUCUCUGGACCGAUAUUGACGCUGAAGUGCGAAAGCUAGGGUAGCAAAC
rnacentral:rRNA from 1 species